rnacentral:rRNA from 1 species
UGCCAGCAGCCGCGGUAAUACGAAGGGGGCUAGCGUUGUUCGGAAUUACUGGGCGUAAAGGGCGCGUAGGCGGCGCUGUAAGUGAGAUGUGAAAGACCUGGGCUCAACCUAGGAAGUGCAUUUCAUACUGCAGUGCUUGAGUACGAGAGAGGAAAGUGGAAUAACGCAUGUAGAGGUGAAAUUCGUAGAUAUGCGUUGGAACACCAGUGGCGAAGGCGACUUUCUGGCUCGUAACUGACGCUGAGGCGCGAAAGCGUGGGGAGCAAACAGGAUUAGAUA